GGCAUACAGCUUCCUGGUCAGGAUGGCUUCACCACUCAUCUGCACCUCGUGGGUGCACGUCACAGGACAGACCCACACAAGUCUUGUUGGUACACAGCUAAAAGUAACUAUUCAAGCAGGCAGGCACAAACACACUGAAAAUUUUGCAUCCGGUUGUGUGAUUUCAGGAAAGCAAACCAAUUAGAGAAAGAACAGAAGGCAGUUAUUUAGGAGCUGAAGGAAGUGGUGUGUUUUGGAGCCACGGAUUAGUUAAUACUGCUUGGCCAAACGAUGCACCGACACAAAGUCAUCUCCUCAGGCUCAGUGGGACUGAGCCAAAAGCAGCUGAAGGGUAGACAAGUGUGUCCCGGGGGAGCGUGACAAUAAGGUUGCUCUGCCCACAUGCCCUUCCCCAGGCAUUCAGUAUUGGCCACCCUUAGGGAGAGGGUACAAGGUUAAAGGGGCUUUGGGACUGAUUCUGGGUGACUUCUUUCUCAGGAGAGUUUCAAGGAGAAUCGAGAAGUAACAAGGUGUGACUGAGCUAAAAUAUGAGGAUAGGGGAAGUCAUUAUCUUGACAGGGAUUUUAUGCUCUAAAAUGGCAAAUAGUUCCAGAAGAGGUGAUGAAGAUCUCAUUUGUGCCAGGAAAAGUUUUAAAAGGCCAAGCAAGCAUCUAGAAUGUGCACAGGAAAGAACAACCAUGUCUUGGCAGGAGACGGUCUGGACCGUGGGCUAGAUGUUUUUAUUUGUAUCAGACAUCUGGAUAACUGCAUUAGCAAGAUGUCCCCGCUAAAAGACUUAGUAGAAGUUUAGGGUGUUGACUUUUACAUUUUUUUCCACUAUCACAGUGAACUGGAUCACUCAGAGCUAUUUGGUAGAGCCACCUGACAUCCUAAUCUAGAUAAGGCUCUAUUGGGCAGCAUUUAAAAAUAUUUAACUUGCUGCUUUGGUGAUUGCUUGGUGUUGGGUAUUUUUGACAAGAGCCUAAAUUCCACACCAGAGAAGUCAGAAGUUUCAGGCAGCUCUACCAUGCCCCAGAAAGUGGUCCCCAGCUGGCCCCAACCCUGCUGCCACGCAGCCGUGCUUCACCACCAGACACGAUCGGUGCAAGGCGGUGGGAGAGGCACCAGCAGAGCCCGGCUCCUCGCACUGCUCUGCGAUCCCCCGGGUUGGCCUCCACUCAGACAAGUGCACAGAUACCCAAACAGCUUGUCUUUUUUUCAGCAAGUACAUGCUGUUCUUCAGUUAUUUUUAGGCUGUAAAGCCUCUGUUUGCCCUUUAAUGCCCUUUGUGUCAUAAAAAUGCCUCCACUUUUCCCCACCCUCUGCCUGCUUCUUUAAUGGCCUCCUCUGUCAUCACCCUGUCUGCGACUGGGCUGGAGCGGCUGCGGUCUGCCCCAGGGCUGUCGCCUUCCUCAGCUGGUGCCCGAGGGGAGGGAGAGGAGCCCGGGGGCCCAGAUCUGCAAAGGGGAGCUGGCACCACAAGGGAAAGCCUGCCCUGAGGUAACAGUUCUGGUAUACCACUGCUUGCUUGAGAUUUGAAGGCUACCAUUGCUUCUCCCUGAUGACAAUGCUUGAAAAAAAUCCUGAGAAGUCAAAGGAGAAAAUUCCUUGGUAAAACACCAUAGGAGGCAUUUUUUAAAUGGCUUUUGUUUUGGGUUGUUGGGUUUUUUUCUUCAUCUUCUGCAGCCAAUAUUGCUCCUGGGAAAAGGUCUGAACUCACCCAGGAUGUAGCCUGCGGUCCAGCAGCCCUUGCUGACCAGCCCUUGCAAGAACCGGAGGAUGACUAUCCACAGUGACUGCUGCUGUACCCAUCUGGCAAUCUCUGCAUCUGCUAUUUCAAAGUUUCUCCAAAGGAAGCAAGAUGUUUCCAAGCUGCAGCCGCACAGAGCGUGACAGAUCAAGUGGGGGCUCCAAACCAGCGUUUCCUGGCUUUGGUUAACGUCCCAGGGCUCUGGUGGGGCACGGUAGGGAGUUUGGGGUGUACGGUCCUAAAUAGUCCUCGUGGGCUCUGCAGGACUCUCUGAGCAGGAGAAUUGUGCAAACCACCAGGUAUGACCUAAGAGACAGAGUACUCCUCAUACUGCAACUGAACAUCCAGGUGGUUGACCUUAUUUUGAGAAGAACAGAGAUGAUAGCAGUUGCACAACCUUUCUCUGCCUUUAUCUAAGCUCAGCUGCUGAACACCGAUAAGGGAGGUCAGAGGGUUCUGCUGUGAGCCCACACGUACCUGUCUGCUAUGUAGCCAAUGUUUAUGGAGCCAAUAAAAAACCCGGCAUUCACAGAAGACUGAAAGAGGUCCAGCUUCCAGGAGUCCUCACACACCAGGUUAAACUAAAGGAGCAACCACAGUUAGAAGCAAGAGAGUGAAACGAGGACCUGGCUCACAUUCACAAGUUUCCUUUGCGUCAGCUGCCAGAGCAAGGGACAACAUAACAGAGCCCAAGAGCCUUCACAAAAACAGUCACAUCCAGAAGCAAAACACUUUGCCAAAACUCACAUGGAGGCGCAUGACGGUUUUGGUUAUCCUGUGAAGGAAGAAGUCCGUGGGCCUUGCACCCCUUUCAGAAGAAGAGGGAAGAUGACUGAUGCAAGACCGUGACCGCACAAAUCCACGCAGACUGCAAGUUUUCAGCUUCCCACCAUCUCAAGAGGUCAUCUGGACCCUAGCAUCUGCUCAAGCCUUUUGCAGCGAGAUGUGCCUGCUGCGCUGCUGCUUUGAGGAAGUCCUGGGGCACCCUCCAUUUGAGGUGUCUCACCUCCUCACUUUACUGUUGCUCUGUCCACACUUUGCUGAAAGAAGUACACUUGCAGUACACCACCUAAAAUCUAGCUCCAACCUCUUACAAAACUAUAAAUGCUGAAGUUGCUAAAGCACAGAAUUUACCUGCUCCUCCAUUUGUGUUAGAUACAUGGGGGAAAGAAUCCUGACCUCCACCAUCUCUAAAAAUUUGGUGGAACUUUCUGUGAUAAAAAUCAAGCUUGUCAUCCCAGAUACUGAUUUGUUUUUAAAGCACCUAAAACCUUAAAGUACCUUAAGUAGCUUAAGUACCAUUUUCAGUUUAUUCACAUCUGAACACAAAACAGCCAUUGGAUUUUCUGCAAUUUAUUCCUGAAUUAAGCUGUUUAAUUGUAGGAAAUUAUUACCUUUUCCCCCACCUAUAGUCAUUCAGUCAUAUUUGAAACUGCCUUUAAAAGACAAUCUUCAUUUAAGAAAAGGAAAAAAAAAAAAGAAAGAAAGAAAUGAAGACCUUCACAUCUGGGUGAAGAUCCCAGGAAGACUGGGAGGUCUGCGCAGCGUGCCCACUUGGGAUCGGCCGCUUUUGUUUGUAGUGCUGCGCACUGCUGAUGCCUCACCAGCGAUGUUUACACAGCUCCACCAAUCGGACCUCUCAUGUGACGGGAAUUUCAUUCAGAACUGGACUUUAUCUACCUAGGUAUUUGUUUGCUGAAAUAUGCUUUGCUCCCCAGCUGGAGAUAUAAGCCUCCUGAGCAGCCAAGGCAACGCUCCACAGCGAGAACAGAGGGAAGACAACUUGCAGAACUCCCUGCGCAAGUUUGCGGCAAGAGGAUCCCCUCGUUCAGAAAAGCCACCAACAGCCACAGCACUUUGGGUUUUUUGGGGUUUUUUUAUUAGCCAAACCAGCUCCUCAAAGAAGAAGCAUUUUAAGGAGCAAGCAUAGAUGGAAAAUUCCACUAACGUGGAAGCAAAUGAGAAGUUUAUUGUAGCAGUUGGUGGGCACCACAUGUGAACAAGGCUUAUCAACUGAGUUCGAUAAAGAACAGAACAGCAAGAUUAUUAGGCAUGCAGUGAGAACAACCAGGAGGACGCUCAGCACAGCACCCACAGCUUGACUUCUCCUUGAAAGGCCUUUAUGUACUCGGGCCUCCUGAUCAAUCUGGUGCUCAUUGCUUCCUGGAUCAUUGGUUGAUCUAGUAACAGAAAUUGGGAAGAAAAGGACAAUUAAGAUCUAUUGACCAGUUGCAUCAAACUGGAUUAGAAACAGCAGAUUCAAAGAAAUUAAACAUGCCAUGUCAUCCUGUCAGUCCUAACAGCUGUAAAAAUUGAAUUCAGAGGAUUUUGUUCUAAGUAAAAAUCACUGAAAAAAUAAAAGCAUGUAUAGUGUGCCUUCA